GACGAACGCUGGCGGCGUGCUUAACACAUGCAAGUCGAACGGAAAGGCCCUGCUUUUGUGGGGUGCUCGAGUGGCGAACGGGUGAGUAUCACGCGAGUAAACUGUCCUUGACUUUGGGAUAACUUCUGGAAACUGGGGCUCAUACCGGAUAGGAGCUUUUGCUGCAUGGUGGGGGUUGGAAAGUUUCGGCGGUGGGGGAUGGACUCGCGGGUUAUCAGCUUGUUGGUGGGGUAGUGGCUUACCAAGGUUUUGAAGGGUAGCCGGCCUGGGAGGGUGACCGGCCACAUUGGGACUGAGAUACGCCCCAGACUCCUACGGUAGGCAACAGUGGGGAGUAUUGCACAAUGGGCGGAAGCCUGAUGCAGCAACGCCGCGUGCGGGAUGACGGCCUUCGGGUUGUAAACCGCUUUCGCCUGUGACGAAGCGUGAGUGACGGUAAUGGGUAAAGAAGCACCGGCUAACUACGUG
rnacentral:rRNA from 1 species